GACGAACGCUGGCGGCGUGCCUAAUACAUGCAAGUCGAGCGAAUCAUUAGGAGCUUGCUCCUGAUGGUUAGCGGCGGACGGGUGAGUAACACGUGGGCAACCUGCCUAUAAGACUGGGAUAACUUCGGGAAACCGGAGCUAAUACCGGAUAAUCCUUUUCCACACAUGUGGGAAAGCUGAAAGACGGUUUCGGCUGUCACUUAUAGAUGGGCCCGCGGCGCAUUAGCUAGUUGGUGAGGUAAUGGCUCACCAAGGCGACGAUGCGUAGCCGACCUGGGAGGGUGAUCGGCCACACUGGGACUGAGACACGGCCCAGACUCCUACGGGAGGCAGCAGUAGGGAAUCUUCCGCAAUGGACGUAAGUCUGACGGAGCAACGCCGCGUGAACGAUGAAGGCCUUCGGGUCGUAAAGUUCUGUUGUUAGGGAAGAACAAGUAUCGGAGUAACUGCCGGUACCUUGACGGUACCUAACCAGAAAGCCACGGCUAACUACGUGCCAGCAGCCGCAGUAA
rnacentral:rRNA from 1 species